GUUCUCUUUGACAGCACAUACACUAAAAUUGGAAUGAAACAGAGAAGAUUAGCAUGGCCCCUCUGCAAGGAUGACAUGCAAAUUCAUGAAGCGUUUCACAUUAAA